GUGGCAUGCCCAAGGCUGAGGUCACAAGUCUGCCCACACAGAAGUGCACUGAAGUGUGCUAGAUGGUGCUGGUGUCGCCAGGACUAGGGACAUCUUGUACCAUGGUUUGUAGAUUUCUGUGGACUCUCCAUUGCUCAUAUUCUACGUGGGGUCAUCCAUACUGCCUUCCCAGAAGCAUCAAUCCCUGAUGUGACAUUUGCCCAAUAUGCAGGUUUCAAAGUAAAGAUCUACCACCUCAGAACUCCACACUCGUGGAAUACAGCAAGACCCAGGAGGCAACAGCAAAAUGGAGAGCAGCAACAUCCAACAAGGACUGUGAAGCACCAGGUGUAUGGUCCCCACUGAAACAGCAGCUUCAUGGAAGGUAGCCCAGGGUGGAGCCCAACCUGCCUGGAGAUGAGGGACCAGGACAAUCAGACAAGGGAGCACGUUCACCUGAGUUCCCAUAAAGACCUUGGGAACUACUUUCUUCAAAACAGUAGGAUACCGGGCUCUCCCAGGCCUCAGGUCCCACAGCAUCCCUCAUUCCCUCAGACCAGGGCUCUGCACAUGAGCUGUCGUCAGCAAAACCUUCAGUAACCAUGCUGAUGCGCAUAAGAGAUGGAAAGGGGAACCACUGUCUCUUGAGGGGGAGGCUGAGGAAACAGGUGACGUGUAGUGGGAGGAUGAGCAGUGAGAAAUGGAGAAAUGAAAAAUAGAAAGUUUUCGCUAGAGCUGUGGCAAAUAUAGUUCUUCUAAGUGUAAUGGAACUAGACAACAGAGUAGGCAGAGACAGCUUGGUGGCCUUUUAAAAGAGGAAGGAGUGACAAAUACAUAAAAAUACUAAACUGACCUAUGUCCUGAGGGCCCUGAAUAUCAAGCUCUAGGGGCUCACGCUGUGGUGAUUUUAAGAAGCUACUGGUCCAAGUUGUCCACCCAUUGCCACAGGUUAUUACCCCAUUGCUGACUUGUCAGAAAUAGCUGUUUGCCCACACUAUAGGCACCAAACUGAUGUAUUGACAUAAACUGAGGUGACUGUGGCUAAUUCAGUUCAGUAGGAUGUGGACUGUGGUGGCCAAGGGAUCUCCUUCUUGAUCCCUAUCAGGUUUAGUUGAAUAGGUGACCAGCCGAGGUCAAAAACCUCCUGAGCCAUCACAGCAUAACCUGACAAGCACCAAGAGUUCCCAAGAGACCACCAGGAGAGCUUUGACACUAUUUUAGCCAAUUUCUUAGUCUUUAGACCUCCUUUUCUCUGGUUUUCACAAGCUCCCUUGUUGCCCUAGCUUGCAGAAGUCAUUGGAGAAGGCUUACAAAAGCUCUGUAAGCAUGUUCUUUUUGUCUCUUUGUUGUCUUUCCUCUAGGGAGCUGAGUGCCAGACUGAGUAGCGCAGGCGGGAUAUAAUCCCUUGACAUGGUUCAGAGAAGAGCACUGGUAGUUUUAUAGCAUGGCCGUCAGGGUACAACGAGGGUCUGGGAGAAAUCCCAGGG